rnacentral:rRNA from 2 species
CCUCAUAAAGUGCGUCGUAGUCCGGAUUGGAGUCUGCAACUCGACUCCAUGAAGUCGGAAUCGCUAGUAAUCGUGGAUCAGAAUGCCACGGUGAAUACGUUCCCGGGCCUUGUACACACCGCCCGUCACACCAUGGGAGUGGGUUGCAAAAGAAGUAGGU